GAUGAACGCUGGCGGCGUGCUUAACACAUGCAAGUCGAACGGUGAAGCCAAGCUUGCUUGGUGGAUCAGUGGCGAACGGGUGAGUAACACGUGAGCAACCUGCCCUGGACUCUGGGAUAAGCGCUGGAAACGGUGUCUAAUACUGGAUAUGAGACGUGAUCGCAUGGUCAACGUUUGGAAAGAUUUUUCGGUCUGGGAUGGGCUCGCGGCCUAUCAGCUUGUUGGUGAGGUAAUGGCUCACCAAGGCGUCGACGGGUAGCCGGCCUGAGAGGGUGACCGGCCACACUGGGACUGAGACACGGCCCAGACUCCUACGGGAGGCAGCAGUGGGGAAUAUUGCACAAUGGGCGGAAGCCUGAUGCAGCAACGCCGCGUGAGGGAUGACGGCCUUCGGGUUGUAAACCUCUUUUAGCAGGGAAGAAGCGAAAGUGACGGUACCUGCAGAAAAAGCGCCGGCUAACUACGUGCCAGCAGCCGCGGUAAUACGUAGGGCGCAAGCGUUAUCCGGAAUUAUUGGGCGUAAAGAGCUCGUAGGCGGUUUGUCGCGUCUGCUGUGAAAUCCCGAGGCUCAACCUCGGGCCUGCAGUGGGUACGGGCAGACUAGAGUGCGGUAGGGGAGAUUGGAAUUCCUGGUGUAGCGGUGGAAUGCGCAGAUAUCAGGAGGAACACCGAUGGCGAAGGCAGAUCUCUGGGCCGUAACUGACGCUGAGGAGCGAAAGGGUGGGGAGCAAACAGGCUUAGAUACCCUGGUAGUCCACCCCGUAAACGUUGGGAACUAGUUGUGGGGACCAUUCCACGGUUUCCGUGACGCAGCUAACGCAUUAAGUUCCCCGCCUGGGGAGUACGGCCGCAAGGCUAAAACUCAAAGGAAUUGACGGGGACCCGCACAAGCGGCGGAGCAUGCGGAUUAAUUCGAUGCAACGCGAAGAACCUUACCAAGGCUUGACAUACACCAGAACGGGCCAGAAAUGGUCAACUCUUUGGACACUGGUGAACAGGUGGUGCAUGGUUGUCGUCAGCUCGUGUCGUGAGAUGUUGGGUUAAGUCCCGCAACGAGCGCAACCCUCGUUCUAUGUUGCCAGCACGUAAUGGUGGGAACU
rnacentral:rRNA from 1 species